GCUGGGUGUGGUGGCGCGUGCCUGUAAUCCCAGCUACCUAGGAGGCUGAGACAGGAGAAUCGCUGGAACCCAGGAGGCGGAGGCUGCAGUGAGCCAAGACCGCAUCACUGCACUCCAGCUUGGGUGACACAGUGAGACUCCGUCUCAA
rfam:Homo sapiens chromosome 16, GRCh38 reference primary assembly.